rnacentral:rRNA from 1 species
GACGAACGCUGGCGGCGUGCCUAAUACAUGCAAGUUGAGCGCUGAAGGUUGGUACUUGUACCAACUGGAUGAGCAGCGAACGGGUGAGUAACGCGUGGGGAAUCUGCCUUUGAGCGGGGGACAACAUUUGGAAACGAAUGCUAAUACCGCAUAAAAACUUUAAACACAAGUUUUAAGUUUGAAAGAUGCAAUUGCAUCACUCAAAGAUGAUCCCGCGUUGUAUUAGCUAGUUGGUGAGGUAGAGGCUCACCAAGGCGAUGAUACAUAGCCGACCUGAGAGGGUGAUCGGCCACAUUGGGACUGAGACACGGCCCAAACUCCUGCGGGAGGCAGCAGUAGGGAAUCUUCGGCAAUGGACGAAAGUCUGACCGAGCAACGCCGCGUGAGUGAAGAAGGUUUUCGGAUCGUAAAACUCUGUUGGUAGAGAAGAACGUUGGUGAGAGUGGAAAGCUCAUCAAGUGACGGUAACUACCCAGAAAGGGACGGCUAACUACGUG